rnacentral:SRP_RNA from 2 species
GACCAGAUGCUGCGCAAGUGAUUCCUGCAAAACCCCGCCAGAGCCGGAAGGCAGCAACGGUAUGCAGCGGAUGCUGUGCCGCAGAUUAUCUGGUCUCU